rnacentral:rRNA from 1 species
AUACGUAGGGAGCGAGCGUUGUCCGGAAUUACUGGGUGUAAAGGGAGCGUAGGCGGGAGUGCAAGUCAGAUGUGAAAUACAUGGGCUCAACCCAUGGGCUGCAUUUGAAACUGCAUUUCUUGAGUGAAGUAGAGGUAAGCGGAAUUCCUGGUGUAGCGGUGAAAUGCGUAGAUAUCAGGAGGAACACCGGUGGCGAAGGCGGCUUACUGGGCUUUUACUGACGCUGAGGCUCGAAAGCGUGGGGAGCAAACAGGAUUAGAUACCCUGGUAGUCCACGCUGUAAACGAUGAUUACUAGGUGUGGGGGGACUGACCCCUUCCGUGCCGCAGUUAACACAAUAAGUAAUCCACCUGGGGAGUACGGCCGCAGGGUUGAAACUCAAAGGAAUUGACGGGG